rnacentral:tRNA from 1 species
GCCCCCGUAGCCCAAUGGCAGAGGCAGGCGACUUAAAAAUCGCUUCAGUCUGGGUUCGAGUCCCAGCGGGGGCACCG